rnacentral:rRNA from 1 species
AUACGGAGGGUGCGAGCGUUAAUCGGAAUUACUGGGCGUAAAGCGUACGUAGGCGGACUGAUCAGUUGGGGGUGAAAUCCCAGGGCUUAACCCUGGAACUGCCUUCAAUACUGUCAGUCUUGAGUUUGGGAGAGGUGAGUGGAAUUCCUAGUGUAGAGGUGAAAUUCAUAGAUAUUAGGAGGAACACCAGUGGCGAAGGCGGCUCACUGGCCCAUUACUGACGCUGAGGCGCGAAAGCGUGGGGAGCAAACAGGAUUAGAAACCCUAGUAGUCC